UUCCGGUUGAUCCUGCCAGAGGCCAUUGCUAUUGGGAUCCGAUUUAGCCAUGCUAGUCGCACGAGUUCAGACUCGUGGCGAAUAGCUCAGUAACACGUGGCCAAACUACCCUUCGGAACACGAUACCCUCGGGAAACUGAGGCUAAUAGUGUAUCUCAUACCACCACUGGAAUGAGUGGUAUGUCAAACGCUCCGGCGCCGAAGGAUGUGGCUGCGGCCGAUUAGGUAGACGGUGGGGUAACGGCCCACCGUGCCAAUAAUCGGUACGGGUCAUGAGAGUGAGAACCCGGAGACGGAAUCUGAGACAAGAUUCCGGGCCCUACGGGGCGCAGCAGGCGCGAAACCUUUACACUGCACGCCAGUGCGAUAGGGGGAUCCCAAGUGCACAGGCAUAGCGCCUGUGCUUUUCGGUACCGUAAGGUGGUACCAGAAUAAGGGCUGGGCAAGACCGGUGCCAGCCGCCGCGGUAAUACCGGCAGCCCAAGUGAUGGCCGAUCUUAUUGGGCCUAAAGCGUCCGUAGCUGGCCGCGCAAGUCCAUCGGGAAAUCCACCUGCUCAACAGGUGGGCGCCCGGUAGAAACUGCGUGGCUUGGGACCGGAAGGCGCGACGGGUACGUCCGGGGUAGGAGUGAAAUCCCGUAAUCCUGGACGGACCGCCGAUGGCGAAAGCACGUCGCGAGAACGGAUCCGACAGUGAGGGACGAAAGCCAGGGUCUCGAACCGGAUUAGAUACCCGGGUAGUCCUGGCCGUAAACAAUGUCUGCUAGGUGUGGCUCCCACUACGAGUGGGUGCUGUGCCGUAGGGAAGCCGCUAAGCAGACCGCCUGGGAAGUACGUCCGCAAGGAUGAAACUUAAAGGAAUUGGCGGGGGAGCACUACAACCGGAGGAGCCUGCGGUUUAAUUGGACUCAACGCCGGA
rnacentral:rRNA from 1 species